rnacentral:rRNA from 1 species
CAGUCGCCACGGGAAUACGAACCGUGCGAACGUUAUUCGGAAUCACUGGGCUUAAAGCGCGUGUAGGCGGAUGGGAGCGUCGGCCUCUGAAAUCCCCCGGCUCAACCGGGGAAGUGGAGCCGAAACGACCCGUCUGGAGGGACGUAGGGGGACCUGGAACUUCCGGUGGAGCGGUGAAAUGCGUUGAGAUCGGAAGGAACGCCCGUGGCGAAAGCGAGGUCCUGGACGUCUGCUGACGCUGAGACGCGAAAGCCAGGGGAGCGAACGGGAUUAGAUACCCCCGUAGUCCCUGUCUCUUAUA